AGAGUUUGAUCCUGGCUCAGGACGAACGCUGGCGGCGUGCCUAAUACAUGCAAGUCGAGCGAGCGGAACUAACAGAUUUACUUCGGUAAUGACGUUAGGAAAGCGAGCGGCGGAUGGGUGAGUAACACGUGGGGAACCUGCCCCAUAGUCUGGGAUACCACUUGGAAACAGGUGCUAAUACCGGAUAAGAAAGCAGAUCGCGUGAUCAGCUUUUAAAAGGCGGCGUAAGCUGUCGCUAUGGGAUGGCCCCGCGGUGCAUUAGCUAGUUGGUAAGGUAAAGGCUUACCAAGGCGAUGAUGCAUAGCCGAGUUGAGAGACUGAUCGGCCACAUUGGGACUGAGACACGGCCCAAACUCCUACGGGAGGCAGCAGUAGGGAAUCUUCCACAAUGGACGCAAGUCUGAUGGAGCAACGCCGCGUGAGUGAAGAAGGUUUUCGGAUCGUAAAGCUCUGUUGUUGGUGAAGAAGGAUAGAGGUAGUAACUGGCCUUUAUUUGACGGUAAUCAACCAGAAAGUCACGGCUAACUACGUGCUAGCAGCCGCGGUAAGAACCUAGGU
rnacentral:rRNA from 1 species